rnacentral:snRNA from 1 species
CCACUACGGAGAAGAUUAGCAUGGCUCCUGUGUGAGGAUGGCACGCAAAUUUGUAAAGUGUUCCAUAUAAAA